UGCACAGUAGAGUCGGACAACUUAGGCGAACAAAUCGAUGUCUUUCAUCCAAUUAUCAACUGGGUUUUUGUCCUUUUAUCUGAUCCUGCUCUUAUUCUCAUCAUGACAUUAAUGGCUGUGGUCCUCUCCUCUGUUUCAGUUUCAGUCUCAGUUUUCCUUUAUUUUUUUUAACCGCGAUUUCUGAUCCUUGUUUCUAUGCGUUGAUGUCUGCAUCUCAGUCUGAUAGAGAGAUAUCCAAAUUUGGUGGCAGAGUAGAUCACCACCACUACGACGAUGACGAUGAUGAUGAUGAAGAAGAA
rnacentral:misc_RNA from 1 species